UACGAAGGUGGCUAGCGUUGCUCGGAAUUACUGGGCGUAAAGGGCGCGUAGGCGGACCUGUCAGUCAGGCGUGAAAGCCCAGGGCUCAACCCUGGAACUGCGCUUGAUACUGCGGGUCUAGAGUGCCGGAGAGGAUGGUGGAAUUCCCAGUGUAGAGGUGAAAUUCGUAGAUAUUGGGAAGAACACCGGUGGCGAAGGCGGCCAUCUGGACGGCAACUGACGCUGAGGCGCGAAAGCGUGGGGAGCAAACAGG
rnacentral:rRNA from 1 species